rnacentral:tRNA from 1 species
AAAUAAUGCUUUUUAGUCUUGUAAUUAUAUUAAUUAAUUAAAUAAGUUUUUCUUUAUCGGAAUUUUAUUUA